AUUGAACGCUGGCGGCAUGCCUUACACAUGCAAGUCGAACGGUAACAGGUCUUCGGAUGCUGACGAGUGGCGAACGGGUGAGUAAUACAUCGGAACGUGCCUAGUAGUGGGGGAUAACUACUCGAAAGAGUGGCUAAUACCGCAUGAGAUCUACGGAUGAAAGCAGGGGAUCGCAAGACCUUGUGCUACUAGAGCGGCCGAUGGCAGAUUAGGUAGUUGGUGGGAUAAAAGCUUACCAAGCCGACGAUCUGUAGCUGGUCUGAGAGGACGAUCAGCCACACUGGCACUGGGACACGACCCAGACUCCUACGGGAGGCAGCAGUGGGGAAUUUUGGACAAUGGGCGCAAGCCUGAUCCAGCAAUGCCGCGUGCAGGAUGAAGGCCUUCGGGUUGUAAACUGCUUUUGUACGGAACGAAAAGCCCUGGGUUAAUACCCUGGGGUCAUGACGGUACCGUAAGAAUAAGCACCGGCUAACUACGUGCCAGCCGCCGCCGUAAAAC
rnacentral:rRNA from 1 species